GCGUCAGCAAGUUAAAAAAAAAAAAAAAGUGUAGUCCCAUAAAUGGGGAAAGGGGCGGCAGCUUCCGGAGGUUGCGCACGGCACCUCACCGGCCGGUAGAGGUAGGGGCGGGGCUUAAGGGCUGGGCGGGGUCUUCCGGCGCCCGAGCGGAGCGCGGCGGGUUACGUAAGGGCGGCGCGGAUGCGUUGGCUCUUGGGUUCCAGUUUUUCGCAGGUGCGGGUGUGGGCCUGCUAAUGGUUUCCUCGCUUUACUUCCCAAACACCUGGUUUCGAGCCCCCGCUGUUGCUCUGCCGCAGAGGCUUUUUUUUUUUUUUUUUUCGGUACUAAAGUCUUAACCCAUUGAAUCACUCGGAGAUUGAGGAGAGGGGAUGGGACAGUUCUGGCACGGCUGGGGAGCAACAGUCUAGCUAUACGGGUCCUUAGGGGCACUGUUGGGGACCUGAAGUUAUUUUGCACAACCUUUGCUCUCAGUGCAACAUUGUUUGGAGAUGGGGACGCUCCAAGAACUGCCCUAUGGGUCAUUUAUAUGACACCUGGAUUGCUCAGUUGUUGGGCAUCUGCCUUCGGCUCAGGUCACAAUCCUGGGAUCCUGGGAUUGAGCCCUGCGUAGGACUCCCUGCUCAGCGGGAAGCCUGCUUUUCCUUCUCCCACUCCCCUUGCUUGUGUUCCCUCUCUUACUGUCUCUCUGUCAAAUAAAUAAAAUCUUAAAAAAAAAAAAAAACAACAAAAGAUGAAAACAUAAAACCUUCUAGGUCUAUGUCUGUUGUCCCAAAUAACAAGAUGCAUUCUUCUUUAUGGUUGAGUAAUAUUCCAUUGUGGACAUAUACCACAAUUUUUUUAUCCAUUCAUCCAUUGAUGGACACUUAAGUUGUUUCUAUAUCUUAGCUAUUGUAAAUAAUGCUGCAAUGAACAUAUCGGUAUAUGUAGCUUUUUGAAUUAGUAUUUUCUCCAGGUAAAUACUCAAAAGUGAAAUUACUGGUUUGUAUGGCAUUCCUACUUUUAAUUUUCUGAGGAACUUCUACACUGUUUUCCAUAGUGGCUGCACCAAUUUACAUUCCUACCAACAGUGCACAUGCCAACACUUGUUAUUUCCUGUCUUUUUGUUUGUUUGUUUUAGUAUUUAUGUUCUUUUUCUUUCUUUUUUUUAGAAGGUUUAUUUUAUUUAUUUAUUUGACAGAGAGAGAUCACAAGUUGGCGAGAGGCAGGCAGAGAGAGAGGAGGAAGCAGGAUCCCUACAGAGCAGAGAGCCUGAUGCGGGUGGCUCGAUCCCAGGACCUUGGGAUCACGACCCGAGCCGAAGGCAGCGGCUCAAUCCACUGAGCCACCCAGGCGCCCCUGUUUUAGUAUUUAUGGUAGAAAUAGAUUGAUUUCCUGUCUUUUUGAUAUUAGUCUUUCUAACAGGUGUGAGGUAGUAUCUUAUUGUGGUUUUAAUUUGCAUUUCCCCAAUGAUUAGUGAUGUUGACUAUCUUUUCAUGUGCCUGUUGGCCAUCUGUAGGUCUUCUUUGGGAAAAUGUAUUCAGGUCCUUUGCCCAUUUUUAAAUUGGAUUAUGAUUUUUUUGGUACUGAGUAAUAUAAGUUCUUUAUAUCUUUUACAUAUUAACUCCUUAUCAGAUAUAGCAUUUGCAAAUAUCUUCUCCCACUCAGGAGGUUGCGUUAUCAUCUUGUUGAUGGUUUCCUUCAUUGUGCAAAAGCUUUUUACUUUCAUUUACUUCAUUUUUGCUUUUGUUUCUCUUGUCUGGGGGAAGAUAUCCAGGAAAAUAUUGCUUAGGCCAAUGUCCCAAGAAUUUACCGCCUCUACUUGUUUAGGAGUUUUAUGUUUAAAAACUCCUACAUUAAUCCAUUUAGAGUUUUUUGUGUGUGUAUGUUUUAAGAAAGUGGUCCAGUUUCAUCCUUUUGGAUUUAGCUGUCUGGUUUUCCCAACAUCAUUUAUUGAAAAGGAUCCUUUCCCCAUUGUAUAUUCUUCCUUCCUUUGCUGUAGAUUAAUUGACCAUAUAAGUGUAGGUUUAUUUCUGGGUUCCUCAUUCUGUUCAUUUGGAAACAUUUCUUCCUCUUUCAUUUUUUAUAAUAGUUUGAGAAGGAUGGGUAUUAACUCUUCUUUAAAUUUUUGGUAGAAUGCACCUGUGAAGCCAUCUGGUCUUGGACUUUUGCGUCCCGGGAAUUUUCUGAUUACACAUUCAAUUUCUUUACUAGUAAUUGGUCUGUUUAGAUUUUCUAUUUCUUCCUGAGUCAGUCUUGGAAAACUACGUUUCUAGGAAUUUAGCUAUUUCUUCUAGGUUGUCCAAUUUGUUGGUGUAUAAUUGUUCAUACUAGUCUCUUGUGGUAGUGUCUGUGGUAUUGGUUGUAACUUCUCUUUUAUUUGAGUCCUUUCUCUUUUUUUCUUAAUGAGUCCGGCUAACGGUUUAUCAAUUUUGUUUAUCUCUUCAAAGAAUUAGCACUUAGUUUCAUUGAUCUUUUUUAUUGUUUUUAAGUAUUUAUUUCUACUCUGAUCUUUAUUAUUUCCUUCCUUCCUGGGAAUUGGUAUUUUCUCAAAAAUAAACAAAGUGAGCCAGUCACUUUAAGGAAAACAACUAACAGCAUUUGUACCGAUGAUAAAAUUUGAGAUUUCAAGCAAAACUUUUAAUUUUGGUGAGCUUGACAGCUUCCCAAUGCUUAAAGAUUUGCUGAUGGGAUUGGUUGUGAUUCUUAAUAAAUGUGUUUUAAAAUUUAUUCCUUACUUUCCCUCUCUGUCUCUUUCUUUCUUUCUUUUUUUUAAAGAUUUUAUUUAUUUAUUUGACAGAGAGAGAAAGAUCACAAGUAGGCAGAGAAGCAGGGGGAAGCAGGCCGCCUCCUGAGCAGAGAGCCCAUUGCAGGGGGUCAAUCCCAGGACCCUGGGAUCAUGACCUGAGCUGAAGGCAGAGGCUUAACCCACUGAGCCACCCAGGCUCCCCCCUCUUUCUCUCUUUCUUUCACCCAGCAUGGGGCUUGAACUCACCACCUUGAGAUAAAGAGGUGUGUGCUCCUCGGAGGGAGCCAGCCUAGUGCCCCUUAAUCAAUUUUUUUAAAUUGGGUAAUGAAAUGUGUCAACAUUUGGAAUAUCCACAUAAUUGAAUGAACCAGUAUUUUCCAAAUGACCUAAUACAUGAUGUUUUAAAGUCAUGCUUGGAUAAAAGAUUCAUUCAAAUUGCAAGAUACGGGGUGCCUGGGUGGCUCGUGGGUUAAGCCUCUAGUUCAGGUCAUGAUCUCAGGGUCCUGGGAUCGAGCCCUGCAUUGGGCUCCCUGCUCAGUGGGGAGACUGCUUCUCCCUCUUCCUCUGUCCCUCUACCCCACUCAUUCCCUCUCUCUCUUUCUCUUGAAUAAAUAAAUAAAGUCUUUUUUAAAAAUUGCAAGAUACACCAAUGGGUUUUAAUUAAUAGAAUACAGAAAGUUCACUGAUAUGGUUUCAAAUACCACAUUACAAUUCACCUUGAAGUAACUACUAUUUGUCAUGUUUUGGUGUACAAUCAAAGAAGAAUACCCAAAAUUAUCUGAAAAGAUAUUAAAAUUUCUGUUGCUUUUUCCAAUUACUUAUCUAUAUGAGGACAGAUUUUCUCUAAAUACUUCAGUCAAAACAUAUCAAAACUAGAAACAGAUAAGAAAACCAAACUUUUAAAAAAUAUAUUUUAUUUAUUUAUUUAUUUAUCAGAGAGAGAGAGAGAGAGAGCAUGAUAGUGCACAAGUAGGCAGAGAGGCAGGCAGAGGAGGAGAGAGAAGCAGGCUCCCUGCUGGGCAAGGAGCCCGAUUCGGGACUGUAUCCCAGGACCCCGGGAUCAUGAGCUGAGCCGAAGGCAGUGGCCUAACCAACUGAGCCACUAAGGCGUCCCGAAAACCAAACUUUUAAAAAAAGAUUUUAUUUAUUUAUUUGACAGAGAGAGAGAGAUCAAGAGAGGGAACAUAAGCAGGGGGAGUGGGAGAGGGAGAAACAGGCUUCCUGCUGAGCAGGGAGCCCUGAUGUGGGGCCCCAUCCCAGGACCCUGGGAUCAUGACCUGAGCAGAAGGCAGAGGCUUAACGACUGAGCCUCCCAGGUGUCCCUAAAUCAUAGCUGUUAAUAUGCAGUGGGAAGGAGCACAGGGAAGUGGCAGGUGCCAGAUUGACCGCGAAAUGCCAUUGAUAGCUUUCCAAGCAGGGAAUGACAGGACUGAAUAAUCUGAGAGCCAUAGGCAAGACCUGGGAGAGGUUAGUUCCUGGAAAUCUAGCUAGGAGGUUAUCAUUAUUGUCUGGGAUAGAUUUGACAAGGAUUUGAAUGAAUGUAUCUAGAACAGGAAAAGAGGAAGAGACCUAGGUUUGAGAAACAUUUCUCAAGGUAGAAGUAGCAGGAUCUGAUCUGCGAUUGGAUGUGACGUGAGAGAAAGGAAAGAACUGGGAUAACUGUUAAGAUUUUUAUAAUGGGAGACUGGGUAACUAGUAAGCUUUUAACAAGAUAAAGGUAUAUAUUUGGAAAACAAGAUUUCUUGGGGAAGACGACAUGUAUUGAACCUGAAGUGCCAGUGAGAAUCGUAGGUUGGGCAUCUAAGAGGCUGGCAGAAUGUAGAGUUGAGGCUCCAGAAAUUGUCAAGGCUACAGAUAUUGUUUCAGGAGUUAUUAAGAGAUAGAUGACAGUGUAAAAGGGAGAAAAAUAACAUUUAUUGUCUGCUGGAUGCUGUAACUCUAGUAGAUGUGCGUGGGUAGGGCACUUGUAAUUGAUGGCCCCAGUUUUCUCUGAAAGGGAAACCAUAUGUGAGCGCAUGAAGGCGUGGGCAGCCACUGGACUUCAUGAGAAGAUGUUGGGACUGUACUUUGGGACUUUAACCACUUAAAAAUUCACACAGACAACAUGCCUGUCUUGGCUGAGGUUCUUUCCUUCUGAUGAAAUGGAAAAUUCAUUGGAAAGGAUAGAAAUUCCUUUCUACUUUACCUUAAAAUUUAGCUAUCUUCACAGAGCAUAGGCUUUGAUACCAGAGAGACUGAAUUUAAUUUGCUUCUGUCCCUUAGUAGUUGAGUGAUUCUGGUCAAGUAAUUUAACCUUCUGGUCUGUUUCUGUUAUCUAUAAGAUGAGUAAAAUAGCUACCUUGCUGGGUUAUUAUGAAGAUUAAGUGAAUAAAGAGGGUAAAACAAUUAUUAUCCCAGUCCUUUACACAUAAUAAGUACUGAACAGAUGGUACCGUCAUCAGCAUCAUCUUCCUCCCAACAACUCUGUGAGAUAAAUAUUAAUUAUCCCCAUUUUUACAGAAGAAGAAAAUUAAACGUAGAUUCAGAAACUUAUCUACAGUCAACUUUUAUUAUUAUUUUUAUUUUUAUUUUAUUU